UACGAAGGGGGCUAGCGUUGCUCGGAAUCACUGGGCGUAAAGCGCACGUAGGCGGCCUUCUAAGUCAGGGGUGAAAUCCUGGAGCUCAACUCCAGAACUGCCUUUGAUACUGGGAAGCUCGAGUCCGGAAGAGGUGAGUGGAACUGCGAGUGUAGAGGUGAAAUUCGUAGAUAUUCGCAAGAACACCAGUGGCGAAGGCGGCUCACUGGCCCAUAACUGACGCUGAGGCACGAAAGCGUGGGGAGCAAACAGG
rnacentral:rRNA from 1 species